UACGGGGGGGGCAAGCGUUGUUCGGAAUUAUUGGGCGUAAAGAGCUCGUAGGCGGUUUGUCGCGUCUGCUGUGAAAACCUAAGGCUCAACCUUGGGCUUGCAGUGGGUACGGGCAGACUAGAGUGCGGUAGGGGUGACUGGAAUUCCUGGUGUAGCGGUGGAAUGCGCAGAUAUCAGGAGGAACACCGAUAGCGAAGGCAGCUCGCUGGGACGGUACUGACG
rnacentral:rRNA from 1 species